GUCUCUGUGGCGCAAUUGGUUAGCGUGUUCGGCUAUUAACCAAAAGGUUGGUGGUUCAAGCCCACCCAGGGACG